AUUGAACGCUGGCGGCAGGCCUAACACAUGCAAGUCGAGCGGAUGAAGGGAGCUUGCUCCUUGAUUCAGCGGCGGACGGGUGAGUAAUGCCUAGGAAUCUGCCUGGUAGUGGGGGAUAACGUUCCGAAAGGAACGCUAAUACCGCAUACGUCCUACGGGAGAAAGCAGGGGACCUUCGGGCCUUGCGCUAUCAGAUGAGCCUAGGUCGGAUUAGCUAGUUGGUGAGGUAAUGGCUCACCAAGGCGACGAUCCGUAACUGGUCUGAGAGGAUGAUCAGUCACACUGGAACUGAGACACGGUCCAGACUCCUACGGGAGGCAGCAGUGGGGAAUAUUGGACAAUGGGCGAAAGCCUGAUCCAGCCAGGCCGCGUGUGUGAAGAAGGUCUUCGGAUUGUAAAGCACUUUAAGUUGGGAGGAAGGGCAGUAAGUUAAUACCUUGCUGUUUUGACGUUACCAACAGAAUAAGCACCGGCUAACUUCGUGCCAGCCGCCGCGGUAAUAC
rnacentral:rRNA from 1 species